GCCAUAUCCCCCGGGAGAAGCAACAAGAAAACUCAUCACCAGGAGAAGGAAGAACAACAUGUUGUCCAACUAAAAGAACGAAAGGAGAAGGAGGCUUCAUGAAUAUGCUGUGCAACGUCUUGGGAUGCUGCGGACUAUUUUCAGCUUGCUAUGACCCUCCAACUCAUUGAAA